AACGAACGCUGGCGGCAGGCUUAACACAUGCAAGUCGAGCGCCCCGCAAGGGGAGCGGCAGACGGGUGAGUAACGCGUGGGAAUCUACCCAUCUCUACGGAAUAACGCAUGGAAACGUGUGCUAAUACCGUAUACGUCCUUCGGGAGAAAGAUUUAUCGGAGACGGAUGAGCCCGCGUUGGAUUAGCUAGUUGGUGGGGUAAAGGCCUACCAAGGCGACGAUCCAUAGCUGGUCUGAGAGGAUGAUCAGCCACACUGGGACUGAGACACGGCCCAGACUCCUACGGGAGGCAGCAGUGGGGAAUAUUGGACAAUGGGCGCAAGCCUGAUCCAGCCAUGCCGCGUGAGCGAUGAAGGCCCUAGGGUUGUAAAGCUCUUUCACCGGUGAAGAUAAUGACGGUAACCGGAGAAGAAGCCCCGGCUAACUUCGUGCCAGCCGCCGCCGUAAUAC
rnacentral:rRNA from 1 species